rnacentral:rRNA from 1 species
UACGGAGGGUGCAAGCGUUAUCCGGAUUCACUGGGUUUAAAGGGUGCGCAGGCGGAUUUGUAAGUCAGUGGUGAAAGCCCCGGGCUCAACCUGGGAAUUGCCGUUGAUACUGCAAGUCUUGAGUGCAGUUGAGGUGGGCGGAAUACAUCAUGUAGCGGUGAAAUGCUUAGAUAUGAUGUAGAACACCGAUUGCGAAGGCAGCUCGCUAAACUGCAACUGACGCUCAGGCACGAAAGCGUGGGUAUCAAACAGGAUUAGAAACCCCAGUAGUCC